rnacentral:rRNA from 1 species
CUACGGGGGGCAGCAGUGGGGAAUAUUGGGCAAUGGGCGAAAGCCUGACCCAGCAACGCCGCGUGAUUGAAGAAGGUCUUCGGAUUGUAAAAAUCUGUCCUUGGGGACGAAAAAAAUGACGGUACCCAAGGAGGAAGCCCCGGCUAACUACGUGCCAGCAGCCGCGGUAAUACGUAGGGGGCGAGCGUUGUCCGGAAUUACUGGGCGUGAAGGGUGCGCAGGCGGCGCUUUAAGUCAGAUGUGAAAUACCCAGGCGUAACCUGGGGGGUGCAUUUGAAACUGGAGUGCUUGAGUGCAGGAGAGGAAAGUGGAAUUCCUAGUGUAGCGGUGAAAUGCGUAGAUAUUAGGAGGAACACCAGUGGUGAAGGCGACUUUCUGGACUGUAACUGACGCUGAGGCACGAAAGCGUGGGGAGCAAACAGGAUUAGAUACCCUCGUAGUC